CCAAAAGCGUAUAUUAAAGUUGUUGCAGUUAAAAAGCUCGUAGUUGAAUUUCGGGGUUAGUAGGUUGGUCAUGCCUCUGGUAUGUACUGGUCUCACUGAUUCCUCCUUCCUGAUGAACCGUAAUGCCAUUAAUUUGGUGUUGCGGGGAAUUUGGACUGUUACUUUGAAAAAAUUAGAGUGUUUAAAGCAAGCUAACGCUUGAAUACAUUAGCAUGGAAUAAUGAAAUAGGACGUUCGAUCCUAUUUUGUUGGUUUCUAGGAUUGACGUAAUGAUUAAUAGGGAUAGUUGGGGGCAUUAGUAUUCAAUUGUCAGAGGUGAAAUUCUUGGAUUUAUUUAAGACUAACUACUGCGAAAGCAUUUGCCAAGGAUGUUUUCAUUAAUCAAGAACGAAAGUUAGGGGAUCGAAGACGAUCAGAUACCGUCGUAGUCUUAACCAUAAACUAUGCCGACUAGGGAUCGGAUGAUGUUAAUUUUUUAAUGACUCAUUCGGCGCCUUACG
rnacentral:rRNA from 1 species